GACGUAGGGCGCGAGCGUUGUCCGGAUUUACUGGGCGUAAAGAGCGCGCAGGCGGUCGUUCAAGUCGAGUGUGAAAGCCCCCGGCUCAACUGGGGAGGGUCAUUCGAUACUGAUCGACUCGAAGGCAGGAGAGGGAAGUGGAAUUCCCGGUGUAGUGGUGAAAUGCGUAGAUAUCGGAAGGAACAUCAGUGGCGAAAGCGACUUCCUGGACCAAUACUGACGCUCAUGUGCGAAAGCGUGGGGAGCAAACAGG
rnacentral:rRNA from 1 species